rnacentral:rRNA from 1 species
UACGUAGGGUGCGAGCGUUGUCCGGAAUUAUUGGGCGUAAAGGGCUCGUAGGCGGUUUGUCGCGUCGGGAGUGAAAACAUCGGGCUUAACUCGAUGCUUGCUUUCGAUACGGGCAGACUUGAGGUAUGCAGGGGAGAAUGGAAUUCCCGGUGUAGCGGUGAAAUGCGCAGAUAUCGGGAAGAACACCCGUGGCGAAGGCGGCUCUCUGGGACGGUACUGACGCUGAGACGCGAAGCGUGGGGAGCGAACAGG